UGCAAGUCGAGCGGGGAAAGGUAGCUUGCUACUGGACCUAGCGGCGGACGGGUGAGUAAUGCUUAGGAAUCUGCCUAUUAGUGGGGGACAACAUUCCGAAAGGAAUGCUAAUACCGCAUACGUCCUACGGGAGAAAGCAGGGGACCUUCGGGCCUUGCGCUAAUAGAUGAGCCUAAGUCGGAUUAGCUAGUUGGUGGGGUAAAGGCCUACCAAGGCGACGAUCUGUAGCGGGUCUGAGAGGAUGAUCCGCCACACUGGGACUGAGACACGGCCCAGACUCCUACGGGAGGCAGCAGUGGGGAAUAUUGGACAAUGGGGGGAACCCUGAUCCAGCCGUGCCGCGUGUGUGAAGAAGGCCUUAUGGUUGUAAAGCACUUUAAGCGAGGAGGAGGCUACUAGUAUUAAUACUACUGGAUAGUGGACGUUACUCGCAGAAUAAGCACCGGCUAACUCUGUGCCAGCAGCCGCGGUAAUACAGAGGGUGCGAGCGUUAAUCGGAUUUACUGGGCGUAAAGCGUGCGUAGGCGGCCAUUUAAGUCAAAUGUGAAAUCCCCGAGCUUAACUUGGGAAUUGCAUUCGAUACUGGAUGGCUAGAGUAUGGGAGAGGAUGGUAGAAUUCCAGGUGUAGCG
rnacentral:rRNA from 1 species